rnacentral:tRNA from 1 species
GUGAGUAUAGCUCAGUGGUAGAGCGUGUGCUUAGCAUGCACGAAGUCCUGGGUUCGAUCCCCAGUUCCUCUA